GCCGGGUUAGCUCAGUUGGUUAGAGCAUGGUGCUAAUAACGCCACAGUUCACAGGUUCAAUCCCUGCUUACUGCA
rnacentral:tRNA from 1 species